UACAGAGGUCCCAAGCGUUGUUCGGAUUCAUUGGGCGUAAAGGGUGCGUAGGCGGCGCGGUAAGUCGGGUGUGAAAUCUCGGGGCUUAACUCCGAAACUGCAUUCGAUACUGCCGUGCUUGAGGACUGGAGAGGAGACUGGAAUUUACGGUGUAGCAGUGAAAUGCGUAGAGAUCGUAAGGAAGACCAGUGGCGAAGGCGAGUUUCUGGACAGUAACUGACGCUGAGGCACGAAGGCCAGGGGAGCAAACGGG
rnacentral:rRNA from 1 species